rnacentral:rRNA from 1 species
CCUACGUGAGGCUGCAGUGGGGAAUAUUGCACAAUGGGGGAAACCCUGAUGCAGCGACGCCGCGUGAGUGAAGAAGUAUUUCGGUAUGUAAAGCUCUAUCAGCAGGGCAGAAAAUGACGGUACCUGAUUAAGAAGCCCCGGCUAACUACGUGCCAGCAGCCGCGGUAAUACGUAGGGGGCAAGCGUUAUCCGGAGUUACUGGGUGUAAAGGGAGCGUAGACGGCAGCACAAGUCUGGAGUGAAAUGCCGGGGCUUAACCCCGGAACUGCGUUGGAAACUGUGCAGCUAGAGUGAAGGAGAGGUAAGUGGAAGUCCUAGUGUAGCGGUGAAAUGCGUAGAUAUUAGGAGGAACACCAGUGGCGAAGGCGGCUUACUGGACUGUAACUGACGUUGAGGCUCGAAAGCGUGGGGAGCAAACAGGAUUAGAUACCCCUGUAGUA